rfam:Subdoligranulum sp. 4_3_54A2FAA genomic scaffold supercont1.1, whole genome shotgun sequence.
GGCAGCCUGCCCUGUGCGAUUUGAUGCGCCAUAUAUUUAAUCCUACUAACCAUUUAAAGGGAGCCCGGAGUCCUAUGUGAGGGGAUCGCAGACCUCCCGCCCGGCCUUGGCCGCAAGCGGAGGAAGGGAGCGUGAAACUCCGGCAGGGCACCCACCUGCCAUUUCGGUAGGUUUUGGUGUGGCGCAGACGGCAGGGCAGGUUACUG